UACGAAGGGGGCUAGGCGUUGUUCGGAAUCACUGGGCGUAAAGCGCACGUAGGCGGAUUUUUAAGUCAGAUGGUGAAAUGCCAGGGCUCAACCUUGGAACUGCCUUUGAUACUGGGGAUCUGGAUGUCCGGGAGAGGUGAGUGGAACUGCGAGUGUAGAGGUGAAAUUCGUAGAUAUUCGCAAAGAACACCAGUGGCGAAGGCGGCUCACUGGCC
rnacentral:rRNA from 1 species